GCGCCCGUAGCUCAGAUGGAUAGAGUACCUGGCUACGAACCAGGUGGUCGGGAGUUCGAAUCUCUCCGGGCGCGCCA
rnacentral:tRNA from 1 species